rnacentral:rRNA from 1 species
UACGUAGGGCGCAAGCGUUAUCCGGAAUUAUUGGGCGUAAAGAGCUCGUAGGCGGUUUGUCGCGUCUGCCGUGAAAGUCCGGGGCUCAACUCCGGAUCUGCGGUGGGUACGGGCAGACUAGAGUGAUGUAGGGGGAGACUGGAAUUCCUGGUGUAGCGGUGAAAAUGCGCAGAUAUCAGGAGGAACACCGAUGGCGAAGGCAGGUCUCUGGGCAUUAACUGACGCUGAGGAGCGAAAAGCAUGGGGGAGCAAACAGG